rnacentral:rRNA from 1 species
GAUGAACGCUGGCGGCGUGCCUAAUACAUGCAAGUCGAGCGAACAGACGAGGAGCUUGCUCCUCUGACGUUAGCGGCGGACGGGUGAGUAACACGUGGAUAACCUACCUAUAAGACUGGGAUAACUUCGGGAAACCGGAGCUAAUACCGGAUAAUAUAUUGAACCGCAUGGUUCAGUAGUGAAAGACGGUUUUGCUGUCACUUACAGAUGGAUCCGCGCCGCAUUAGCUAGUUGGUAAGGUAACGGCUUACCAAGGCAACGAUGCGUAGCCGACCUGAGAGGGUGAUCGGCCACACUGGAACUGAGACACGGUCCAGACUCCUACGGGAGGCAGCAGUAGGGAAUCUUCCGCAAUGGGCGAAAGCCUGACGGAGCAACGCCGCGUGAGUGAUGAAGGUCUUCGGAUCGUAAAACUCUGUUAUUAGGGAAGAACAAAUGUGUAAGUAACUAUGCACGUCUUGACGGUACCUAAUCAGAAAGCCACGGCUAACUACGUG